UGCAGCCUGGGUGAUGGGAGCGAGACCCCAUCUCAAGAAAAAUAAUAAUAAUAAUAAUAGCCAUAUGGCUCCUCAACCAACCCAGGCUUCAACAGAAUGGUGGGACUUGCCCACCAUGGAGGGUUCCUUUCUCAGGCCUGGGCCCUUUUAGCCAGUCCAGCCUGGCCUUCUGCCACAUUCACCCUGGGGCUAUGAGGAGGCCUUCAAGAUGGGAGCCAUGUCUAUGUGGCCCCUUCCCUAGAGCAACAACAGGCACCAGUCUGCCGUUAGCAUCCUGUAGCCACCUGGGGGGCUCUUCUGACGACAAACAUUUGCCCCUGGACUGCCCUUCGUGGCCUCUAGUCCUCUCUCCAGGGACCCCUGCACUGGGAGGCAGGACAACUUCCUUUCAUGUCCCCAAGGCCACAUGCCAUGCCCCACUGACAUUUGUGGCACUCCCCAGUCUGAUUCCAACCUCCUCCAGUCCUAUUGUGCCCCCUACUCUGACAUCAGGCAAAGCCACUCACCGCGUCUUCUGAUGGGGUACUGUCUGCCCAGCAUGCCCUUACCCCCUCCCCACCCCCAGGCAGAACAGCAGAGGCAGAGGAUGUGGGCAGGAGAGCUUAUGUUUGCACAGUUGAGAGCAGCCUGUGUGUCUGGAACCCAGAAAGUAAGGGAAGCACCUGGUGUAUGAGGGGAAGCUGAAGAGGCCAUAGGAGGGACUUCUGUCAUGGUUCCAAGAGCAAAGGAUGGAAGAUGUCAUUUGUAGGGAUUUAGUCAGCGAGUGGUGAUCACAUCUGCUCUAUAAAAAGCUCUCUAUGGGAAGCAAUAGAGGGGGCAGGGAGACUCAGGAAGUGGCAAUUGCAGUUGUCCAGGUGGGAGAGGGUUAUCCACACUGGAGAGGUCUUAGAGCCCCUCGUCCAGGAACCUCUCUCUGACCCUCUACCCCACCACAGACUCAUUGGGAGGAUACACCAAGUGGUCAUCAUAAGGUACAAUCAGAGGAUCCCAGAGAUGCCUGGCCCAGCUGAAGACAAACUUGAGCACUCAUGAAAAUAGGAACUGGAUUACUCAACUGUACCCCCAGAUCCUGGCCCAAGGCCUGAACAGCCUGCAGUCUGAACACUUCGUACCCAGCAGCCCAUGCGUCUGUGCUGACAUCCGGUGACUGUCCACCACGUAGAAGCCUAGAAAGUCACGGUGGACAGGAUGUUUCUUCCACACCUGGUGUAGGACGACCACGAAGGUAACCCCAUCUCCAAAGGAGACCACCAUGUUCUUCCUGUUGAUCAUCAUGGACAGCCUACGAGAGGAAGCCAGAAAGUGGCUGUGGGGCCCAGUGGCCGUGACACUGGGCAUCUGACUCAAGGGCGUUUUGGUGGGGCCUCCCCUGUACAUGGCACCCGAGGGCCCACAGACUCCAGAAACUAUCUCAGGGGCGUUGGAAAGAGGAUGCCUCAUGCA